rnacentral:lncRNA from 1 species
GUCUGUCCAUUGUUGUGACCUAGAUGAAGAUCAGAUAACAUUUUAGGACCAAUUUAUGCAGAAAUCCAGUUCUCCCGGUUUUGACCCUUGCCUGUUUCUGGACUUUGCACCCGCCUGCCUGACCAUUCUGCCUGCCUUGACCACGAGCCUGUCUGCCACUCUGUACCUUCUGGACUCUGAUCUGGUUUUGACCUUUUGUCUGUCCACGACCAUUCUCUUGCCUACUACUUUUUGGAUUAAUAAACAUUGUAAGACUCCAACCAUCUGCCUCCUGUGUCUGCAUCUGGGUCUCGCCUUGUGCCUUGAUAGAUACUGCAAAACGAGUCUUAGGACCUCUAUCAAUGUUGGG